AUUGAACGCUGGCGGCAGGCCUAACACAUGCAAGUCGAGCGGAUGAAGGUAGCUCGCUACCUGAUUCAGCGGCGGACGGGUGAGUAAUGCCUAGGAAUCUGCCUGGUAGUGGGGGACAACGUUUCGAAAGGAACGCUAAUACCGCAUACGUCCUACGGGAGAAAGUGGGGGAUCUUCGGACCUCACGCUAUCAGAUGAGCCUAGGUACGAUUAGCUAGUUGGUGAGGUAAAGGCUCACCAAGGCGACGAUCGUUAACUGGUCUGAGAGGAUGAUCAGUCACACUGGAACUGAGACACGGUCCAGACUCCUACAGGAGGCAGCAGUGGGGAAUAUUGGACAAUGGGCGAAAGCCUGAUCCAGCCCUGCCGCGUGUGUGAAGAAGGUCUUCGGAUUGUAAAGCACUUUAAGUUGGGAGGAAGGGCAGUAAGUUAAUACCUUGCUGUUUUGACGUUACCGACAGAAUAAGCACCGGCUAACUUCGUGCCAGCAGCCGCCGUAA
rnacentral:rRNA from 1 species